GGCCGUGUGGCUCAAUGGAUAGAGCAUCCGACUUCGGAUCGGAAGGUUGCAGGUUCGAGUCCUGUCACGGUGG
rnacentral:tRNA from 1 species